rnacentral:lncRNA from 1 species
UUCUUUAAAAGUACAUCAGUUUCCUCUUAAGCAGGUAUUUGCUUACCACGUAACUGGGUGUCGAGUGCUAUGUAGUUAUAAAGUUUGCUGGGCUCAGCUGUAGAUUUCCUUAAGACAUACUGCUGACAUCACUGAGACUCCUCUCGGACUCUUUUCUCUCUCUCUCUCUCUCUUUCCCCCUCCCUCCCUCUCCCUUCCUCCCUCUCUCCAGUUUCUUUAUUCAGGUAAUUCCAACUCAGACUUAUUCCAACUUGUUUUGACUGACAGUGAGGGAAGGGAGACCUUCUGAGGGUUUUUUUUUAAAMCAUGCACAUGUGCUUUGUUGAAAAGAUAUCCAGUCUUUUCUAAAAAAGAUUGUUUGACUUGUCAUGACGAUAACAUCUAGUAAGGAAUCUGAACAUUGCUCUUCUACAGGUCUGCAGUGUGCUCUGCAGUGUGGUGAACAAAGGAAAGGAAAACUUUAGAUCUUCUCUGAAUGAUUUCAGAUCUAACAGCAAGCGAGGCAUGAUGCCACACAAACGAGCUUGGAGUCCCGACCAAGCACUGUGGGCUCAGAUAUCAUGCACCUUCAUCCACGGGCAGAACCAGAGUAUUCCCACAGACACUGGAACUCUCUCACAUUUCUGCUCUGAAACAACAGACCCAGGCAAUCCAGGGAAAUGGAUGCUUGGUGUGAUUUAAAAUCUUCAUAGUGAAGAGAAAAUGGAAUAGGAAUGAAAAUUUUUGAAGCAGUUACAUCCCUCAAAGAGAAUACUGGCCACACUAAUUCUGUAAUUUGUGAUAAAUUCAUUCAUUAUUAAAAAAUAACUAAAUAAUCUGCAUGUGUCUCUGCUGUGCCAGCAACAUCAUCUAUAUGGAUCACUGCUUUGCCUAAGAGAGGAAGACAUCCAAUUUAGAAAUCAGUCGGUUUGGGAGAGGGAAAUGGUUAUUUUGUCUCAGAGGCUGCAUUUUGCUAGCAUAAAAGAAGAAUCACUUUUUGAAAGCAUUUUCAUCUGUAUGAACUUGUCCACACAGGUAGGGCAAUUCUUCAUAACCAAAUAACUUCCUGAGAAAAUCACCUUGUAACAAGUUUUAAGAUGAAACCCUGACAAACCCAUCCUUCUUCCUUGGAAAUGUGCUUUGCAGUGUUGCAAAAAUCAUGAGGCCAAA